AUGAGCAAACAAAGGACGUGUGGACUGCGGCCCCUUGUUAGCCAGGGCUGGAGGCCUCCUCGUGCCUCUUGCUCCGCAGUCCUUCCAGACCAGCAGGAGACGGGGCAGAAGGCUCUGGAGCGAUUAUUCAUGGCUGACCCGGGGAGCUCUGCAGAGAAGCCUCCACAUCCGGAAGGAAGCCCUGCUGGGGGCGGGGAUCCCCUCGAGGGUGACAUGCCGAGGGAGAUCACCCGGGCACCCCGACCCAGUCCUUCUCAGCGCCCUCGGCUGCACACUGAGCCGCAGAGCGGAGACGACCGAGCUCUGUGUUCCACAGAAGCAAUCUGGCCGCGGGAGAGGGAGGAAGCCGAGGGAUGAGGUCUGCCCACGGCAGGGAGCUGAAGGCCGCCCAAGCCUGCCAGCCCGUCUGCGGGUCCCCACUGCUGCUCCACCGAACAAGAAUGGAUUUGGACAGUUCCUCUGCUGACAGCCCGACAGGUCUCUUAGCUUCACACAUGGUCACUCUCAUGCCCUUACCACAGAACUCAGGCUGGGUGGGAGGUGCUGCUGAGUUAUUGCAGCCUGCAACCUGUGCAACCAGCCUGUGCCCGCAGAUCAGGGAAAUCAUCCUCACACACGUGUGUUUUAUGUCCAUAAAUACCACUGAGAUUAAAGCAGCGGGAUUGAUUCUCCCUGCUACUCCGACCUCCAGCCACGGUGAGUUCUGAAUCUGUCCCCUGGCCGGCCUCUAAUUCCUUCCACCUCCACCCUCAGCCGGGAGCCAGGUCUGCCAACGGUUCCUCCAGCAUCUCGUGUGUUUCCUUCUGUCCCCACCUCUGCCGCCCCAGCCGACCUUAUUGCUCUUCACUGAGAUGACCAGAGCUGUCACCAGGUGUCUAAGGCCCGGGCCCCAACUGUCUCGCCCACUGCCACCGUGUAAAUGUUCCUGCCGGUCCAUGCGGUUCUUUGGGCUAAAAAUAGUUUGGAUUCCCCAUCUCCUUCACCCACUAAUCAAAAUGCUUCACAGUGUGGCACUAAGAACCAUCUCUUGAAUGCAAAACGAGUCGCCUUAUCAUUAAUAUGCCUUAAUAUUAGAACAAGAAAACCUUCUACGCACGUCUCUAAUCCCAGCACUCGGGAGGCUGAGGCAGGAGGAUUGCUGUGAGUUCGAGGCCAGCUUGAACUGCAUCUCGAAAUCCUAUCUCAAAAAGACAAAACAGGGGGCUGGGGAUUUAGCUCAGCGGCAAAGCGCCUGCCUGGCAAGCGCAAGGUCGUGAGUUCGGUUCCCGGUACCGGAGAAAAACCAAAAAAAAAAAAAAAACAAAAAAAACAAAAAAAACAAAAAAUCAAAAAGACAAAACAAACAACCAAACACUUCUAAAAAUCAAAGUUGUGCCAUGUAUGGUUGAACAUCCUUAUAAUCCUA
rnacentral:lncRNA from 1 species